rnacentral:rRNA from 1 species
AUUGAACGCUGGCGGCAUGCCUAACACAUGCAAGUCGAACGGCAGCACAGCAGUAGCAAUACUGUGGGUGGCGAGUGGCGGACGGGUGAGGAAUACGUCGGAAUCUGCCCAGUCGUGGGGGAUAACUAGCCGAAAGGUUAGCUAAUACCGCAUACGACCGAGAGGUGAAAGCGGGGGACCGCAAGGCCUCGCGCGAUUGGAUGAGCCGACGUCGGAUUAGCUAGUUGGCGGGGUAAAGGCCACCAAGGCGACGAUCCGUAGCUGGUCUGAGAGGAUGAUCAGCCACACUGGAACUGAGACACGGUCCAGACUCCUACGGGAGGCAGCAGUGGGGAAUAUUGGACAAUGGGCGCAAGCCUGAUCCAGCAAUGCCGCGUGUGUGAAGAAGGCC